rnacentral:lncRNA from 1 species
UACCUGGAAAACCCCAAAUGCAGAAAGUUCUGGAAAUAUUAGGCCAUAAAAUAAAAACUUGGGUAUAUAAAGAUGCACUAAUCAAAGAGUGAGAAUCCCAUAUCGUCAUCACUCUCUUCCUUCUCUUCCUUUUUCUCCUCAGCUGGAGGUGCAUCAGCUGCCGGUGCCCCUCCCCCAGAAGGUGCUGCUGCAGCAGCUCCACCACCACCAAAGAAGCCGCCGCCUCCACCGCCACCAACAAUCACCUGCAUCACAUAAAUUCAUACAUCAUAUAUAAUACAAAACCCAAGCCUACACUCUUAGCUUCAAUAACAUGCAAACAUCUUCUGCUGAAACAAAAUCAAGCAGAACAAAACCCUAAUCACAGAAGGUCCAAUACAUGGGUCCAGACCACUCCAGUGGCCCACAGCAUCUUCUGCAUCAUAUUAACGUUCAAUAACAAUACAACAUCGAAUUGGAAUUAAAAUAGCCCAACCACCAAUCAGAUUAUUACAAACUUGUUAAUCAACUACACAGAGUGUGCUUUCCAGGUUAAAAGCAAGAACUAAAAAUAAUACCCACAUGAGAUUUGCAUCACAAAUAUGAUUUUCCUGCUCCAACCCAUUUAAAUCCUCACUCACGAAAACAACAAACAUCCAUUUUAUGAAAUCUGAAUACACCAAGCAAUCCACCAACCCCAAUUGGAUUAAUGGUUGAGUCACCAGAAUAAAGGAUGGAAGCAUAUAUUUACUGAUCUAAACUAUUUUUUGGCACUCUUAUUGACCAUGUUGGUAACAAUUGUCCAAUGCCAUGCAGCUACCAAAUUGAAAGCAGAACAGAAUGAAUAUUGGGAAACAUGACAUCAAAAGCUUUUAUUUAGGAAAUAAAAAAAAAACAAUUUUAGAAAAGAUUAGUAUGUUGUUUUAGAAAAUGUUCCCAGUUUAUUUCCAAAAACGAGCAUUUCUAAAUAGUAUUUUCAUUCACAAAGAACCACAUAGGGACCAUACAAUCUACCAAUAUCUUUUGAUAUUAGGGGCAAUGGUAACCAGGACUAUUGCUCAGGAAUCUGCCAUUUCUUUUGAUAUGGCAGGAAAUGAUAACAAGGAUUGUUGCCCAGGUAUUUGCAAAAGACCCAGCUUAACAUGCAAUGUUGUUAUAUUAUUCUGAAACGGAAUAAACCGCUAUGCAUAAUAAACAAUUAAUCAAUAUACUACAGCCAUAUCUUCAUAUAGAAUUGAGAGAACAGAGGAGCGACCAUCCAUCAAUCCGAAUACUUCAAUCAUAAACUCACAACUUAUAUAGCUAUUAAAAAUAGAACUUAUUAAAAAAGGCAAAACAAAAAAUACCUAAUACCUUCCAUUUGAUGAGAAAUCCAACAAAUCUCAAAUGCUUUGCAAGUUUGAAAACUCAAAAUUUUCUGGGCAAUCAAACAGAGUUACAGAAGAAUAGAAGUACCUGGAUAACGGCAGAGGAAGGAGUGACGUAGGAGAAAGAUGACUGAACUCCGCCGGAGGAGUCGGCGGAGAGAGCAGACUGAACGCACCUCCUCUGCAGAUCGUAAGUGGAGGCCGCGGACUCUUCAAGAUCGCCGUUCAUCUGCUUCGCGGUCCACUCCUUGCCGGAGCUCCGGCACACGAAUGUGAAGACUCCCAUUUUUCUUUCUCCAAACCCCUAACUCUAACCCUAAUUCACAGCCCAAAGAGAUGAGAGGUCGGCUUCU